rnacentral:SRP_RNA from 1 species
GCCGGGUGUGGUGGCGCAUGCCUGUAGUCCCAGCUACUCAGGAGGCUGAGGCAGAAGAAUCGCUUGAAUCCGGGAGGUGAAGGUUGCAGUGAGCCGCGAUCGCACCACUGCACUCCAGCCUGGGUGACAGAGUGAGACUCUGUCUCAA